rnacentral:lncRNA from 1 species
GGCUCUUAAGACCCACGUUGGUUUUGUUGUUAUGUCAAAUCUCCUUCACCCUAAAAGAUUAAGUCAAAGAACGUGGCUGAAUUUUCUCACCUGUUUCACUUCGUUGGCCACGCGGUGGCUGGGAAUGAGCGAUUCCCAUGGCACAAAAAUCUAACUUGAUUAGAUUCGUUUUUUUGGUCUUUAAAAGGAGUUUUGGGAGAGACUCGAUUGAGGUAUCCAGUAGAAAAGAUCUCUCUUCUAUUUUCUUCUUCUUCUAAAUUUCUGAGUUUGAGUUUGAGAGCUUCAUCUCUUUUGGGUUGAGUGCACAACACAAUUGAGAGCAGAGUGAACCCUGGAGUGAGCCGUCUUGGUUAUCUUGCACACCGGGAUUAGGCG